CUCAUGUCGAAGAAGGAGGGUGAGAACCCUCACCGGGUUCGAGCAGAGCAGCUUGCAGUGAUGAACGGCCGCAGGCCCCCGAAGGGGUGAGCCACGCAGUGGCGAAUGAUCCUUUCCUCAUCGCCA
rnacentral:sRNA from 1 species